rnacentral:rRNA from 1 species
UACGUAGGGGGCAAGCGUUGUCCGGAAUCAUUGGGCGUAAAGCGCGUGUAGGCGGUCCGGUAAGUCCGCUGUGAAAGUCGGGGGCUCAACCCUCGGAUGCCGGUGGAUACUGUCGGGCUUGAGUACGGAAGAGGCGAGUGGAAUUCCUGGUGUAGCGGUGAAAUGCGCAGAUAUCAGGAGGAACACCAAUUGCGAAGGCAGCUCGCUGGGACGUUACUGACGCUGAGACGCGAAGGCGUGGGGAGCAAACAGG